GAGGAACAACAACCGCGUUAAGCCCGUGACUCCUUCACAUCUCUACCUUUAGGUGGAGACCAGGCGCUGGACGCCAAGUGCACAAGGAAGGACCCCAAAACAAGCCCCGUGUUUUCAGCAAAGUGAAGAAAUGAAACGUGAACUACAUGUCUGGAGUUGGGAAGGGAAGCUGAGAAGCAUCUUGGGGACUCUAGCUUACUCGAGUGGAAUGAAGCCAUCCAGCUCUGUUAGAAAUGGCAGGAGACGGGGAACAAGUCCUGCAGAGGAACUUCAGACUUCCCCUGCAGUGGCCCUGUGAUGAUCUGAUCAAGACAACAGGGUGAAGUGAGGAUUCCUGAGGAUGACAUGGUGAGGCGGGGACUGGAAAUCCAAGAGAACUGCUUGGAGAUCAAAUUAAAAGUUGAAAUGAACAGUUGUUUGUAACCAAAUAUUGAAAAUAGGUGCUGAAAUGAAUUUAAAUCAAAUUUAAAAUUUAAACUCCAACUGUACUAAUAGCACAGUGAAGUAAUGACUUAAAAUCCCAAGCCUGCAAGAAAACAGUAAAAGAAAC
rnacentral:lncRNA from 1 species